UACAGAGGUCUCAAGCGUUGUUCGGAUUCAUUGGGCGUAAAGGGUGCGUAGGCGGCGCGGUAAGUCGGGUGUGAAAUCUCCGGGCUCAACCCGGAGGGGCCACCCGAUACUGCUGGACUUGAGUUCGGUAGGGGAGUGGGGAAUUCCUGGUGUAGCGGUGAAAUGCGCAGAUAUCAGGAGGAACACCGGUGGCGAAGGCGCCACUCUGGGCCGACACUGACGCUGAGGAGCGAAAGCGUGGGUAGCAAACAGG
rnacentral:rRNA from 1 species